CGGUGCUUGCUGAUGUGGUGGCCAUCGACACCGGCAACGAGUUGCAGCACGUAGACAUCAAAGGCUGCGGGUGUGACGGAGGAGCACCAUGGCGGGCGUGCAGGCCAUGGCUCUCUAUGUUAAGGGAGCAUUCCUCAAUUUUUUGGGGGUUCAACGGAACAGCAGGAGUGUGGAGAAUUAAGGCACUCGAGGACUCUGGAAUAUGGAUGGAGAGAACAACAGUUGAAGACAUGGAUAUUGCUGUCCGAGCACAUAUAAAGGGAUGGAAGUUUCUGUUAUGGUUGAUGACUUUUCUGUAUGGCAUUCAUACCUUUACUGAUCAUUCAAACUGUGCUACACGAAUUUCCAUUCAGUGUUAGUGUGAAUUGCUGGAGUCAUACGAAGUUUACAGAAAACAGCAAAAUAGAUGGUAUUCUGGUCCAGUGCAGUUGUUUAGACUCUGCUUUCUGGACAUCAUCAAAUCAAAGGUAUUAAUGUAGGCAUAUUUUGAAAGGUGAAUUUUAUUUUCCAGGGAAAAAAUCGGACGCCUUCCUUGACGCUCUCCUUGAGCUUGUACUCCUCCUUGAGGAGCUCGACCAGCUUGGGCAGCAGGGAGCCCAUGGCGCCGGUUGCCAUACUCAUGGCCAUGGCUUGUUGAUUAGUGCAGUAGCUUUGUUGUUUGCUUGAGGAGUGUAUAGCAAUUGUUGUACGUUUAGGUGCUACAACGCUGUUCUUUAUAGGAGCCGAGCAAGUUCACAUCAACACAUUAAGGUUAUGGAGUAGACAAGGAUAAUUAAGUAUAGUUUGAUUAGUAUGACAAGUCAUGUCAGCAGGAUGAAUAUUUACAAGAUUGAUUAUCUCCCAGGAAGACAAAUAGGAAGUAUGUUUGCAAGUUUUCAUCACUAAAUUAUACAAUUAUAUAAAUUGUGUUCUACUUGAAGUUUGGUCAGUUAAAAUCAUGUUGACUCGCCUACUGUUUAAUGGUUCUAUUUUGAUCAUAUAAUUAGGUUUACAUCUUGACUCGCUUGAUUUGAUAAAUUCCAUUCUUACCAAGGGUCGUCAUUUGUGUAUUUCCUCUUCGGAGGGUGAUCUCGUCGCCCACGGAUAAGCAAUCCAAGGAGAAGAGAGUAGGGUCUGCGCCCAACUUGACUCCCUAUAAAAGGAGGGGAGGUGGCUGCGAGCAUGCCAUCAGCGUUGGGUCGAUGGUGUUGUGCCUCGGCAGCCGGGAUCAUGCAAUGCAGAUGGGAAGCAGC